AAUCGAACCCGGAUAUAGCUGGUUCUCUCCGAAAUAGCUUUAGGGCUAGCCUCGACUGAACAUUACCGGAGGUAGAGCGCUGAAUGGGCUAGGGGCCGAGAGGUUACUGAACCCUAUCAAACUUCAAAUGCCGGAAAAUGAUAGUCGGGAGUCAGACUGCGUGAGAUAAGUUUCGUAGUCGAAAGGGAAACAGCCCAGACCCACAGCUAAGGUCCCAAAGUACGGUUAAGUGGAAAAGGAUGUGGAGUUGCACAGACAACCAGGAUGUUGGCUUAGAAGCAGCCACUCAUUAAAAGAGUGCGUAAUAGCUCACUGGUCGAGUGACUCUGCGCCGAAAAUUUAACGGGGCUAAAUCGUACACCGAAGCUUGGGAAUAUCAGUUAUUCUUCAUGGACUUGCAAGGAAAGAGACCAUGGCACGAAGUGCCAUCAAAUUGUCCAUAAGGAUAAAGCGAGCUUGUGAAGAAUAACUGAUGUUGGUAGGAGAGCGUUGAAUGCGGGGUGAAGUCAGAGCGAAAGCGCUGGUGGACUGCAUUGAAGUGAGAAUGCCGGAAUGAGUAGCGAGAUUUAUGUGAGAAUCAUAAAGGCCGAAAGACUAAGGUUUCAGAAGGAAGGUUCGUCCGCUUCUGGUUAGCCGGGAGCUAAGGUGAGGCCGAAAGGCGUAGCCGAUGCACAUACGGUGGAGAUUCCGUAGCCGUCAAAAUAUUUAAGCAAAGGGACACUUAUGAAGGGCAUGACCCGGGCGAUGGUAGCCCCGGGCGUAAGGGACCGAAAAUAAGUAGGGAAGCAUGUUUGGAAUAAGGCGAGAAAAGCUUUGUGGAUAUAUGAGACGUCCGUACCGCAAACCGACACAGGUAGUCAGGAAGAGGAUUCUAAGGCCAACGGGAGAAGGGUAGUUAAGGAACUCGGCAAAUUGACCCCGUAACUUCGGAAUAAGGGGCGGUGCGUAAGCACCCGCAGUGAAUAGGUCCAGGCGACUGUUUAUCAAAAACACAGCUCUCUGCUAAAUCGAAAGAUGACGUAUAGGGGGUGACACCUGCCCGGUGCUGGAAGGUUAAGAGGAGGAGUGCAAGCUCCGAAUUGAAGCCCCAGUAAACGGCGGCCGUAACUAUAACGGUCCUAAGGUAGCGAAAUUCCUUGUCGGGUAAGUUCCGACCCGCACGAAUGGUGUAACGAUCUGGACGCUGUCUCAACUGCCCACCCGGCGAAAUUGUAGUACCGGUGAAGAUGCCGGUUACCCGCGGCAAGACGGAAAGACCCCAUGGAGCUUUACUGUAACUUGAUAUUGGGUCUUGGUAUUCUAUGUACAGGAUAGGCGGGAGACUAUGAAACAUACACGCCAGUGUAUGCGGAGUCACCCUUGGGAUACCGCUCUUAGAGUACUGAGAUUCUAACCUGCGGCCGUGAAUCCGGUCGGGGGACAUUGUCAGGUGGGCAGUUUGACUGGGGCGGUCGCCUCCUAAAAGGUAACGGAGGCGCUCAAAGGUUAGCUCAGCACGGUCGGAAACCGUGCCUCUGAGUGUAAACGCAAAAGCUAGCCUAACUGCGAGGCUGACGGGCCGAGCAGUAACGAAAGUUGGAGUUAGUGAUCCGGCGGUAUGUGAAUGGAAAUGCCGUCGCUCAACGGAUAAAAGCUACCCUGGGGAUAACAGGCUGAUCUCCCCCAAGAGU
rnacentral:rRNA from 1 species